AAAUACAGACAAAACUCUGCAAGUCCAAGACUUCAAGCUCCAUUACCUCGAUUCAUGUCUCUCCUCUCCGAAGAUGGGGACCGCCAGUCGCCCCGGCAAGCGGUAGCCACACUCCCUUUACCUCUCAUUCUCUUCUCUCUCUCUCUCUUCUCUCUCUCUCUCUCUCUGCGCGCGCGCGCUCCGGUACGUAAAAAGUUCCCAGAAAAGAAAAUGCAGCGCUUGAAUUUGAUGUUGUAUAAGCUUGGUUAUCCCAUAAGGUGUGUCCUUUUUGCUUCCAGUUUUGUACUUGAGCUGAUUAGGUUUGGUUUUUGGAACCCUAGGGCGAUGGCUCGAAGCCUAACGCUCCCGAAUUACGGCUGCUAGCUCGUUGGAAAUACUUUACCAGAUCAAGGUACCUUAACUUUUGUAUUGGCAAUCCCUGAAUUCAAUAGCUUUUGCUUAAUUUAGUGUUCCGUUCGAAAUUGGGAAUGAUGAGCCCAGUUUCAUUGCUUGAGAAAAUUAGUGUGGCAUUCGGCUCUUUCGCAGUAAUGGCGACUUUUUUUAUUCUUUUGCUUAAUCCAGGUAUUAAGGUUUGCUUAAAAUUUAGUCCGCUUCAGUUAUUAGUUUUUAGUAUUGAGGGGUAUGAUUGAAUGGGAACAAUCGAAACCUUUUCGAAGAAACGCCCUAAUAUCCAGUUUAAAAGAAGAGGGGGUAACAACAACUACAAGAAAGGAAAGUGGAAUGAUUCAAGCAGUAAGCAACCUUCAGAGGAUUAUCAAUUGCUCAACACUGUGUAUCGUAUUCUCUGCCCUUCUAAAAGCUCAGUGGUGUUAUUGGGAAGGUUUGCAACAUAGUCAAAGCCCUUAGAGGAGACCCCAGCAAACAUUUAGGUUUCUGAUUCUGUUCUUGGCUCAGAUGAGGGAGUAAUUCUUAUCUUUAGCUCUCCAACAAAAAUUUCAAGCAAACAAAAUAAACCAUGAAAAUUUAGCUGAGGGAAAUCAAAUGGAGCCGCAUUGUGCUACCCUGGAUGCUCUGUUGAAAGUUCAUGACAGGAUAGUAGAGGAAGAUCGUUUUGGUGGAGUUACAUUUGAUGAUGACAACAAGAACAGUGUUGUUACCACAAGACUUCUAGUUCCAAACAAUAUGGUCCAGUGGUCCAUGUAUGCAGUCACUUUGUGCCAGUGAAGUCUGCCGCUGGAAACUUGUGGGUGUAUUGAGAUUUUUCAUGUCUUCUUUUUACAUUUGUAAAAGCAUAUGAUUUUGUAGCUUGGUUACCUCAAUCUUCAAACAUGCUUAUAUGAAACUCCCAUGAAAAGUUCUUUGUUAUAUGUUUUUUGGUGCCUAUAACUUCCAACAAAAGUGAGAGAUAUCUGCAAAACCAAAUAUGACAAAGAGGGCACUUUAUGAAGUGUCUAAUCUACUGCAUCAGAAUCCUAGGAAGGACAAGCCUCCUUCAAUCUUUCCUAUGCCUUUCUUUCACCUAGAAAUCCAAUGUUGUCUAAUCGGGCUCCUUUCCACAUUAUGUCGCCAAUGCCACAGGAGGAUAUGAAAACCGUCGUGGAUUUGCCCAAUGGUGGUUUUAAUGGUUUUCCUCCUGGACAUGGGGGUGAAGCUCUAGCUCUAGCUGAGUUUUCAUGAAAAUUUUGUGUUCAGCUGGGACAUUUGGUGGGAUUAUUGACAAGGGUGGAGGCUUUGUUGUUGUUGUUGUUGUGGUUUUAAUGUAAAACAAUUACAACUGGAAACAGGAGCCAAAAUUCAUGUUCAGGAUGCAUCAAAGGAUUGAGAAGAAAGUGUAAUUCCCGUCUCUGCUUUUGAGGUAUGCCAUCUUGUGAUACACGGCCAUUUCCUGUCUUUAACUUCUUUUCAUAUUGGCUUAGAAGUGUUAUUUGCAUGGACAACGUACUGUGCACCAACUGUUUGCUGGUGCCUGUGGAUCAAGAAUAUGCCAGCAGUGGAUCACCUUGCUCAUACUUUUUCAGGCUUUGUGGAAUCCCAGAUCACAAAUAAUUGUGACAAUUCUUGAGCUUCAGAACAGAACAAGUGAAUUCCGAUAAAGGCAUAAUCACUACUAGGAUUCUUGAACCAUCAAAUAAAGUUUGAUGCCUCCUUGGACAAGGAGGUAAGUUAUAAAUGAGACGAGAAGGAGAACCCAGGCUGAUAAUCGUGUUUACUCGAAGGAUGAUAGGCCAACUUUUUGGUUUAUCUUGGUUCGGAGGAGUAUUAAUUUGAUUGCCUUCGUUUUGCAGUUAGUUUUAUUUGAUUUUUUUUCAUGAGAUUGACAACUUUUCUUCUUUUGUACUUAUAUUUUUUAUGUAGAGUUUAUUGUUUAACUGAAAGGUCACAAAUUACUUGAGAGGUUAAAUAAAAUUGAACUUUCUAGAUAUGUGACACCAUGAGCAUCACUGUCGAUAUCUUGAUUAUUAUCCCAAUUCCCAUCAUAUGAUUAUCAAGUUAAAAGUUAUGCAUGCUCAAAGCACUGUUUAUGGCAGAACUGGUGAAAGGAGGCAUUCUGUUGAUGGCAAGAAAUGGUUCUCAUAAGGUGAAGCUUGCAGCAAUGAGUAAUUGGGUAUCUCCAAAUGAGAUUCAACUGAUAUUUGCCAUUUUGACCUCAUAUUUAUUACAGAACACGGAUGUCUUCCUUUAUGUAUGAGUAUUAGAUACAUUAUAAAAUGUAUUAUGUGCACCUGGUUGCUUUUUAGAUGGAAUUCUAGGCAAUUAAGAUGAUAUAUGACCUGCUUAGAAAUAACAGUGCAUGCAAUGCACAGCUUAUGUAUGAAAAUGCUCAUACAUUGAACCAGAAUUCUUGUCAAGACGAUAAUAAAAUAACAAAGUAAAUCUAGAUAAGUGGAAAUGACAUGUCUAUGAAUGAUUGCUAAAAGUUCCUUGUCAACCAGAGAUUUAUCAGAUUCCUCCAACUGCUUCUGGGUAUGGAAGUAUUUAUACUUGCGUACAAAGUAAUACUCAUAUUUUAUCACUCUGAUUUUUGUGCUUGUUUUAUGUUGUUCCAGCUAUCCAAGGGUCAACUAUGCUAUGGAGGGUAGGAUCCCAACGAAUGCAGUCGAUUUUCCUGGAACAGUAGGGCGCAGCAUUUCCACUAUUAGAGAGCCUUUUGAAAUUGCUAUUUAGGUUGACGUAUCAAGAGCGCAGCUCCAAGACUCCCACGGUGGUGGCUCUGAGCAUUCUGUUGAGAUCGGUGGUUCUGAUCAUUUGAAUGCAGCACAGAAUACCCUUCGGGCAUUCUUGGCUUCUGCAGAUCAAAAUGUGAGUUCUCUAUCUGGUUCCUACCGCUAUGUAAAUGCUCCGCAAGUCUCCUACCACGAGAUGAAUCCUCAGCCCAGCGCCUACCAAAUCAAUCCUCAGCAUGGCCCCUACAAACUCAAUCCUCAGCACAGCCCAUACCGAAUCAAUCCUUAGGACAGCCCAUACCGAAUCAAUCCUCAGCAUAGCCCUUAUCAAGUCAAAGCUUCGUACAGUCCCUACCAAAUAAAUGCUCAGGAAAGCCCCUAACAAUUGAGCUUUCAACAAGGAUCAUACCCAAACACGAAUGCUCCUUAGGGCGCCGACCGCAGCAACCAUAGUUUGCAACAAAGCGCCUACCAUUACCGGGCUCUAAUUUGGGAAUCUACUAUAAUUUACUUUAGUCCUUGAGAUUGAAUCAAUGGAAAUUGUUCUUGAUAUUGUCCACCAUUCAUUAUUUUGGUUAUUCUGUUAAAAAACUCCGUUAAAUGUCUCGGAGCUCUUGGUCGGAAGAUUGGGCAAUUUUCAAA